GUUGCACAGAUCUCUGUGACUAGCACAACAGUUGUCAUAGUAGGUGGUGGCAGUAGUAAAUUGCCAGUGCUUGUGUGGAUAAGAGGAAAUAAAGAUCCUCAGUGACUUUCACAGACACUUGGUGCAGUUCCAAGUGCCAGAGGGGCACAAAAGCUGGUUUUAUUCUGAUUGCCCCAAGACUGACACUUGCUGCCUUGUCCUCUUCAAAAUACUGCUACAGCAAUCUUUCCUUUACCCUGCCUCUGACUCCUUGUCCUGUGGUCACUCACCUCUCAUAGAUCACAGACUGGCUGGGGUUGGAAGGGACCUCUGGAGAUCAUCUCAUCCAGCCCACCUGCUAAAGCAGGUUCAUCUGGAGUAGAUUGCACAGGAAUGUGUCCAGCAAACUUCAAACCAUUAUGAUUGAAAGUUUCAGGGGGGAAAAAAAGUUCAGACGGACAUACAUCAUGUAAAAUUUUCUUCCAAACCAGGAAAGUUUGUGAAGCCUAUACAGAAGGAUCAGGUAGGUUUGGGUGACCUUAAUAGCUCAUGCUAAUAGGCACACACAGUCAUUUAUACACACACAAUCUUCUGAUAAUCAAGCCUGAAGUGCACUCAUAUAUUCAUGCACCAACAAGCAAAUGUGUGUACAAAAUAGAGCUAUGAAUGUUGCAUGUAUCUGCAUGUACUGUGGUGUCAGCUUUCUCAAACGUGCACUUUGCAGAUAUGCUUAUGUUUCUUUCUUACAAAACACUUUGAAAGUAUUUGUGCUCAUUGAAAUGUAGCUUCUGAGUCCUUCUAUCUGUAGCAUUUGAGGAACUAUCAAACAGUUUUCAACCCUCUAAUAGAAAAUUAUUCUAUCAUUAUUUUCUAGAGAUGAUUUCUAUGAAUUGCAGAAUGUGAUUUUGUUCAUUCAUAAGUAACAGCAAUGGGCACACAUGCCCAUUAAUAACAGACUAAUAAUAAUAAUUAAAAAUAACAAACAAACAGUAGAAGGAGGAGAACAAUUUGCUAUAACAACCAGAUGUAGAGAGAACUAAUAAAAACAAAGAGAUUUUCUUUACCUGUGAGAUUAAAAUUUCAUAUCAUUUGAAAUGACAUCUCUCAUAUUUUUCCUGUAGACAAGAAACUUUUGGCUUAUGGCCAAAUGAAAAGAAUAUGAAUGAAAAGCAAUUCACAGAAAACAAUAUGCUCACUCACAAAAGACAAGUAGUAUGAGUUUAUUCAAAUUUUAAGCACAUCUCUUUGUGAAAGUUAGGCCAGAUUUCUUUCUAACUUUACAGAAGUGGUUACUCAAGUUGCUCCAACUUUCUCAGUAGUCACCAUGAACUGCUUGUCAUAACUUUAAGAGACCCUGAUAAAUCAAAGCACCUACAAAACCUCUGCUUUGGGAUGAUUUUGAAGUAAAAUCAAACACCCUCAGUACAGAGUUCUGGAAAAACAAUGAAUAUAAAUGUCACGUUCAGCCACUCACUUUUAGUUCAGAAUACAUGCUUUUGUGCCAAGCGACUACACAUGGUAUAUAAUCCUUAGCUCCUUCAGGAUUUUAAUCUGCCGUGAAGCAUAUGGUAAAAAAGGUAAGUGUUCUGUGGAAUCAUUAACUUGCCUAAAGCAAUGUGGAUGUUCUUUAUUUCUUUCUUGAAAGACAAAGAGCAUCUGAAAGUAGUUAACGGCUCAAACCCUAUAGUUUGCUGAGGCAGCAAAAAAUGAACGUGGAAAUGUCCCUGCAGGGCUGAGUUCUAUGUUAAUUAGUCAAUUCCCAGGGCAGUGCUUGUAUUGACAAGAGUAUGUUAUUGUUCUGUUUCCUCUGUUAGUACCAAGAAUGUAAGAGCACAACAUAUAAAUACAUUUAUUUAUCAGCACCAAAACCAUCAGGGAGAUUGUGUUAUACCAAAGCUACAAUGGAGAGAAAAAAUGCAGAAACCCCAAUUCUGAUCUCACUCCAAUGAGAUAAGAGAAUUGUCCUUUUAAUGUAAUACCACUCACUAUGAAAGGGAUUCCUUUCAAAGUAUCAAAAGCCUUAGGUCAAACUUUACAUUGUAAGGAGCCCAUUCAGUGGUAUUCCUGAAGAGCAGGGCUUUUAGAAGAGCUGGGCUCAACCAGCUCCUGGUACUGAGGAAGGGCAAGACAAAACCACUAAAAAGCAAUCUAAAAGAGAAGUGACUGAGGAUUUGCUUUCUUCUCCUUGUCUCCUCUCCCCCAGGGUGGAUGGGAGGCUGCAAAGCAGUGUUCAAUGAAGGUCAACCAAGCUCUGGAGAAGCAAAUGUCUGGUAGGGCACCAGCACUUUGUGUUUCCUCCUCCAGGCUCAGUGUGGCUGACUCCUGAAAACAUACUGUUGUGCAGGAUUUCAUGCACACAAAAGAGGACCUCUAGAAGAUACCAUAAUUCUGUCCAUCACAGUAUUGUUUAGCUCUCUCUGUAAGCAUUUGCUGCUGUGGUCAAGUCACAUGCGCCUCACUUCUGCAAAACCUUUGGCCUGUUUUGGUGUCCAGAACCACUCUCUGGCUCUGAGGAUGAAUGGUGCUAGCAUGGUCUGGAGUCACACAACCAGCCCUCCUCUUUGUACCUCAACCCAGCUGCCACACUCAUGCUACCUCUUGGGAAGAGCCUUAGGUCUGCAACAGUCACCCAAACGAAGUUUGGUCAUUAACUAGGAGAAGCUGGUCAGCCCAGGCCAAAACCAGGCCAAACAAAGUGCAAAGAAGUAAACAGACUGUGUGACAGUGCUUAAACCUGUCACUUUGCCACGAUAAACAGAGCCUUUGGAGCAGCAUAACGAGUUACGUUUCAGCCCAUCCCAUGUGUUCAGGGACUGUUCCAGAAAGAGCCUAAUUCAAAGCACAUCAAAAUUAUUUGCAGUUUUCCCAGCAUUUUCAAUGGGUUUUGGGACCUAGUCUUCAACAUUUGACAAUAAUCAGCAUUUUCCCCUAGAACAUACCACUUAAAUGCACAGAAAUCUAAAUAAAAAAAGUGUUCUCAUAAUUUUGAAAUCCUCAUCUGGAUCUGCUUCUGAUUAAAGAAAAAUAUUAGAUUCAUUCUUAUUUUGCUCAAACGAAUACAUACAUCUCUGGUUUAAAUAAUGGAAAGCAGAAAAAGAUUUUUGAGGUGGUAUUUCCAGUGAUGAGUUCCAAAUUUUUUUGGAGGGGGAAACAUGGAAGAAUGGAGGAGGUUUUUUUUUUAAGCUAAAAUGACAAUUAAUCUAGUUUGAAUGUUAAUUGUGCUGAUUUCUUUUCAGUCUGAGACUUUCCAAUAUAUGUACUUUCAGCUUGGGUGCAAUAUUUCAAGGUUUGUUACAAAACUCUAAUUUGGAGCUUGUUAACAGAGCAGAAACACCAGCUGUGUAGCCUGACUUGUUAGUAUCUCUUUUUCUUAUGCUAAACAAUGAAAAGUCACUUCCCAUAGGACUGUGACGUACAAUAUUUCUGUAACCUUAUUAUAAUUUUCUUUCAACCACAGACUUUGUGUGUUCUUGUGCUUUUCUGGGAUAAAAUUUUCAGAGGAACAAAAUCCCUGAAAAAGUAAUUAAUCAUCUGGUUCUGGUUACGCAAAUGACCUAAUUCUGUGACCUUCAAACCUCCCUCCCCCUCAAAGAAAGCAAUAAGAAUGUAAAGCACAGAGAGAUUUUUAGAAGUAGUGAGGCUCUGACUCCUGCUGACUAUUAAAACAAUCUCAUCCUCAACACUUCACAGAAUAUGCACUAUACCAUACACCAGUGGACCGUUAGUUUCAUGCUGCAUUUUUAUUUCUUCUUAUUGACAGAGGCAAGUCCUUAAUCAUUUUAUUUUUACAUAUUUGCACAUAAUUUAAGCAAACUUUCUAGUGUGGUUUGAAAAUUCCUGAUUAUCAGAUGCAAGUUUGCAAAUCAGCAUUUACCAAAUGCUCCUUGAGAACUGCACUCAUUGCUUGUGCACUGAAAUUCAGUGGCAAUGUCUUACAUGGCACUUCACAUGUAACUGAUUUUCCUACUUGACUAAAACUAAUGAUCAUUUGCUUACAACCUUCAUCUGCAACACAAAUUCAUCGUUCAAUAGGUUGCUGAUGGACAUCACUAAUACACUAGUAUAGCGGAGUGACUAACUUUCUGUUAGAUGACCAACAGUGAAGAACCACCAGACAAUGUUGUUCUCCAGGAAGGAGUGGAGAAGUUCUGGGACUGAUUUACUCACCAGUGAUGCUGGUGAUUCUACCAGGCCCACAUUUGGUCCCAGCAAGGGCAAGCUUUCAACCCAGAUCCACAGGAAGGAUUCAGACAGUACUAAGGCAGCCUGUACCCAUUACCAGCAACAGCCUAGGCAUGGGAGCCAGGCUUAACCAGCCUGAGCCAAAUCUCUUGCUUUCCAAGAGUAGUAAUAAGAAAAUACAUUUCCUUCCCUCACAAAAAAUGCUGCUCACAUCCAAACACUGAGAAUUUUGCAUAAGAUGAGAGAUUUUAAAGUAGUCCUGCUCCAUGUGUACCCCAGUUCUGGAGAGGCCUUGACAGCAACUACUGAAAGAGACAUGGGACUCAAUUCAAUAGUUUCUCAGGGAACAUUUAGAUUUUGUGAAUUUGUAUUUUCCAACAGGAGAAUAAGGAAUCACCAUCAAUGCAGUGCUACAGCAAUAAGUGCUGGGUAACACCAAAAAGUGCAGGAUUGUAAUUGUCUCUGUUGCAAUUAGACACCAAAGUGUCGAGUGGGGGGGACGGAAAUCAAGCCAAUAUAUCUAUUCACAUUUUUGGGGAAUUAGGUACUUUUUAAGAAUCUGGUUUCUGUAAACUCCAAUCAAAAUCAAGGUAUCAUAGCAAAUUAACAGUUCCUGACUAAAAAGUUUUAGAAGAGUGAGAAUUUCUACACUAGAAAACCAAUCUAAACUUUUAGACUAGUAUAAGAUAGACUUGAAUAAGAAUUUCAGGUCAUCAUUUGCUCAACAGGGAAUUGAAAUACAGGUAGUGUAAAUCACUUAGUCAGGAAUCACAUGGGAAUUGACUGACAGGAGCAAGAGUCAAACCUAGAUCUCCAGUAUCCCAAAUUAGUUUCCUAACUACAAGACCAUGGUUCAAAUUCCAACUGAGUGCUAUGAUCUAACUGAUCUUUCAGUGCAGUUCUACAUGUCCUCUCAAUAACUGUUGCAUCUACAGUAAUGGAUUUAGAUUUGGAAAAUUCAUUAAUGGAUGUGGUAUAAAGCAGUCUCAUUAAACACC